UCCCUGGUGGCUCAGAUGGUAAAGAUUCUGCCUGCAGUGCAGGAGAUCCAGGUUUGAUCCCUGGGUGGGGAA
rfam:TPA: Bos taurus chromosome 12, whole genome shotgun sequence.